GACACAGGGAGGUAGUGACAAGAAAUAACAAUACGGGGCUUAAAGUCUUGUAAUUGGAAUGAUGGGAAUUUAAACCUCUUCCAGAGUAUCAAUUGGAGGGCAAGUCUGGUGCCAGCAGCCGCGGUAAUUCCAGCUCCAAUAGCGUAUAUUAAAAUUGUUGCAGUUAAAAAGCUCGUAGUUGAAUUUCUGCUGCAUUGCUUGUGUCCCUCUGGGGUCUGUGCAUGUGGCUUUUUUCGGACGGAGUUUCUUUGUCUGAAUGUUUACUUUGAGAAAAUUAGAGUGCUCAAAGCAGGCUUUCGCCUUGAAUAGUUUAGCAUGGAAUAAUAAAGUAGGACUUUGGUUCUAUUUUGUUGGUUUUAGGUACCAAAGUAAUGGUUAAUAGGAACAGUUGGGGGCAUUCGUAUUUAACUGUCAGAGGUGAAAUUCUUAGAUUUGUUAAAGACGAACUACUGCGAAAGCAUUUGCCAAGGAUGUUUUCAUUAAUCAAGAACGAAAGUUAGGGGAUCGAAGA
rnacentral:rRNA from 1 species